GUGCCCACUUCAGCAACACAUAGAAAAAAAUUUGAAGCAAUUCAGAGAAGAUUAUCACAAUUUCUGAACAAGGAUGACACAGAAAUUUUUUUAUAUGAAAUAUAUUUUA
rnacentral:snRNA from 1 species